rnacentral:rRNA from 1 species
AUUGAACGCUGGCGGCAGGCCUAACACAUGCAAGUCGAGCGGAUGAAGGGAGCUUGCUCCUGGAUUCAGCGGCGGACGGGUGAGUAAUGCCUAGGAAUCUGCCUGGUAGUGGGGAUAACGUCCGGAAACGGGCGCUAAUACCGCAUACGUCCUGAGGGAGAAAGUGGGGGAUCUUCGGACCUCACGCUAUCAGAUGAGCCUAGGUCGGAUUAGCUAGUUGGUGGGGUAAAGGCCUACCAAGGCGACGAUCCGUAACUGGUCUGAGAGGAUGAUCAGUCACACUGGAACUGAGACACGGUCCAGACUCCUACGGGAGGCAGCAGUGGGGAAUAUUGGACAAUGGGCGAAAGCCUGAUCCAGCCAUGCCGCGUGUGUGAAGAAGGUCUUCGGAUUGUAAAGCACUUUAAGUUGGGAGGAAGGGCAGUAAGUUAACACCUUGCUGUUUUGACGUUACCAACAGAAUAAGCACCGGCUAACUUCGUG